rnacentral:rRNA from 1 species
AUGGACGACGCCUUCGGCAUGUUCUGCGAAGGGUGCUCGCCCUACGGCCCCUUCUGGGACCACUACCUCGAGUACUGGGAGGAGAGCGUGGCGAGGCCAGACACCGUCCUCUUCCUCAAGUAUGAGGAGAUCAAGUCGGACCCGGCGCGGGUUGUGAGGAGGCUCGCGAGGUUCCUCGGCGUCCCGCUGACCGAGGAGGAGGAGGGCUCCGGCGUCGCGGAGGAGGUGGCGAGGCUGUGCAGCUUCGAGACCCUCACCGGCCUGGAGGUGAACCAGGUCGGCGGCGUCAGUCACGGGAAUAAAGUUCACGUUGAUAACUCUGUGUUCUAUAGAAAGGGAGAGGUAGGGGACUGGGUGAACCACAUGAGCCGUGAGAUGGGGGAGAAGCUCGACCGUAUCGUCCAGCAGAAGCUCCAGGGGUGGGCAUAUAAAACGAUGACCGAAGUACCGAACCGAACUAACCGUGACCGAACCCGAAGGCACCGAAACCGAAUUCUUUCGUAA